rnacentral:lncRNA from 13 species
UGAGUAGAGCUUCUUUGAGAAGAAUUAUUUACAUAGGUUUGGGCAGGAUUUCAGGAAACCAGUAAGGGACGGUGCUGGGUUUUUUUUUUUUUUUUUUUUUGGGACGGAGUUUCGCUCUUGUUACCCAGGCUGGAGUGAAAUGGCGCAAUCUCGGCUCACUGCAACCUCCGCCUCCUGGGUUCAGGCAAUUCUCUUGCCUCAGCCUCCUGAGUAGCUGGGAUUACAGGCACGCACUACGGUGCCCAGCUAAUUUUUUUUUUUUGUAUUUUUAGUAGAGACGGGGUUUCACCAUGUUGACCAGGAUGGUCUCAAUCUCUUGACCUCGUGAUCCACCCGCCUCGGCCUCCCAAAGUGCUGAAAUUACAGGCGUGAGCCACCGUGCCCGGACAGUGCUGGGUUCUAAGGCGUUUACAGUGGAAAACGGUUACGAGGGAAAGUAACUUCCGUGAGAAAGUGACAGAAACGGAGGCAUUAGAUACCAGUGUGCCAUCCAACAAGGAUAACCCACUACAACUAGGACAAUGAUCUCCAUCUCACUAUCUCCUUGUCCUCUAGUCUGGGAACGCCUCACAUUGAUCACACCCUAAUGGAAGCCAGAGGGCAACGAAGCCUGUUGAUGGAGCGCUGUGAGUCAGCAGCCUCCGGGCAGAGAGAAGGUGGACGGUGGAUAAAGCAAAUGUCUCAUGUUAUGAAGUGGAAGCAUUAAGCAGAAGGUAAUGGGAUGACCUAUUAUCAUAAGAUGAGAAGGAAAAAAACAGGAAUUCCAAAUUAGAAUAUAAAUUUUCAUUAAGUACUUAUUUGUGUAUGCCACUCUGUUUACACUAGCAAUUAAAUUUAAAAGACAGUUCCUCACUUCUAAGACUUUAUAAAUUAUAUACCUGACUCAUACAUACUAAGUUUUCAGAAUUGAAGAUUUUGCCUUUUUGGUGUUUUCAUUCAAAUCUUAUUGGCAAGAGGAGUAAUGACAUCAGCACAGAAAACAUAAACACUGCACUUAAACUCUAUAUAUUUAUAUUAUAUAUUUUACAUUCAUUUAUACCCUUGUUUCAGACCACAUUGUGAUAGUUUACAGGAAUAUGCCUGAUCCAAUAUAUUGCAGAAAUAUUUAAUAUAAAUGGCCAAGAGGACUGCAGAUAAACUAGGAAGAAAAAACUAGGGCAGUGAAAUUGGAAGAAAGAACAGUCAUUCUGGUUGUACCACUGUUUUGACUUUAAGAUUCUCCC